AUUGAACGCUGGCGGCAGGCUUAACACAUGCAAGUCGAGCGGAGUAUUGGUGCUUGCACCAAUACUUAGCGGCGGACGGGUGAGUAAUGCUUAGGAAUCUGCCUAUUAGUGGGGGACAACAUCUCGAAAGGGAUGCUAAUACCGCAUACGCCCUACGGGGGAAAGCAGGGGAUCUUCGGACGUUGCGCUAAUAGAUGAGCCUAAGUCGGAUUAGCUAGUUGGUGGGGUAAAGGCCUACCAAGGCGACGAUCUGUAGCGGGUCUGAGAGGAUGAUCCGCCACACUGGGACUGAGACACGGCCCAGACUCCUACGGGAGGCAGCAGUGGGGAAUAUUGGACAAUGGGGGGAACCCUGAUCCAGCCAUGCCGCGUGUGUGAAGAAGGUCUUUUGGUUGUAAAGCACUUUAAGCGAGGAGGAGGCUACUCUAGUUAAUACCUAGAGAUAGUGGACGUUACUCGCAGAAUAAGCACCGGCUAACUCUGUGCCAGCCGCCGCAGUAACAC
rnacentral:rRNA from 1 species